rnacentral:rRNA from 1 species
UGGGGAAUAUUGCACAAUGGGCGCAAGCCUGAUGCAGCGACGCCGCGUGCGGGAUGGAGGCCUUCGGGUUGUAAACCGCUUUGUUCAAGGGCAAGGCACGGUCUUUGGCCGUGUUGAGUGGAUUGUUCGAAUAAGCACCGGCUAACUACGUGCCAGCAGCCGCG